UACGGAGGGUGCAAGCGUUAUCCGGAUUCACUGGGUUUAAAGGGUGCGUAGGAGGGCAGGUAAGUCCGUGGUGAAAUCUCUGAGCUUAACUCAGAAACUGCCGUGGAUACUACCGGUCUUGAAUAUCGUGGAGGUGAGCGGAAUAUGUCAUGUAGCGGUGAAAUGCUUAGAUAUGACAUAGAACACCCAUUGCGAAGGCAGCUCGCUACACUAUCAUUGACACUGAGGCACGAAAGCGUGGGGAUCAAACAGG
rnacentral:rRNA from 1 species